CCUAACACAUGCAAGUCGAACGGUAACAGGAAGAAGCUUGCUUCUUUGCUGACGAGUGGCGGACGGGUGAGUAAUGUCUGGGAAACUGCCUGAUGGAGGGGGAUAACUACUGGAAACGGUAGCUAAUACCGCAUAACGUCGCAAGACCAAAGAGGGGGACCUUCGGGCCUCUUGCCAUCGGAUGUGCCCAGAUGGGAUUAGCUAGUAGGUGGGGUAACGGCUCACCUAGGCGACGAUCCCUAGCUGGUCUGAGAGGAUGACCAGCCACACUGGAACUGAGACACGGUCCAGACUCCUACGGGAGGCAGCAGUGGGGAAUAUUGCACAAUGGGCGCAAGCCUGAUGCAGCCAUGCCGCGUGUAUGAAGAAGGCCUUCGGGUUGUAAAGUACUUUCAGCGGGGAGGAAGGGAGUAAAGUUAAUACCUUUGCUCAUUGACGUUACCCGCAGAAGAAGCACCGGCUAACUCCGUGCCAGCAGCCGCGGUAAUACGGAGGGUGCAAGCGUUAAUCGGAAUUACUGGGCGUAAAGCGCACGCAGGCGGUUUGUUAAGUCAGAUGUGAAAUCCCCGGGCUCAACCUGGGAACUGCAUCUGAUACUGGCAAGCUUGAGUCUCGU
rnacentral:rRNA from 1 species